AGCACUGAACGAGAGAGAGGCGGCGGCGACACUAAACUGCUGAAAGGGAGGAGAGGAGGAGCUGGAGUGAAGAAGAAGAAGAAGAAGAAGAAGAAGAAGAAGAUGCCGUGAAGCACGUGAGAGUGAGAGGACGACGAUGGAGUUUCAUUGCUUGAGGAUAUAAGAGGGAGGAGGAAGAAACGCCAUGGAAGUUGAAGCGCCGACCACCUUCUUGUCGACGGUCAUGGACGACGACGAUAACGAUGCUUUGAGUUUGUCAAGUGACCGGUCAGCUUCUCGAUCAUCUUCAACUGUUUUGCUCGACGAAGGAACAAUCGCAGACGGCAGCGGCUUGGCGGAGAUUUGAACGGACUUAGGAGGCGGUGGUGGUUGACGAGGGUAGUAGAAAUCUGUAGGAAAGAAGUUGUAUAGCAUUCCCGCCAUGGCAACUGGAUUUAGUGUAAAUGUAAAAGAAAGGGAGAUGGGAUAUUAUUUAUAUAAGAAGUUUCCUUUGAUAA